UAAAAAGAGGUGAUAUGGGUGGGGCCCAAUCCAAUAUGACUGAUGUCUUUAUAAGAAGAGGCAAUUAGGACACAAAACAGAGGAAGACCAUAUGAAGCCUCUGAGAGAAGUGAGCUACCUACAAAACAAUGAGAGAGACCCACAGAGAAACUCAACCAUGAUGACACCUUGAUGUUGGCCUUCUAGCCUUCAGGAUAGUGAGCAAGUAGCACUGCAUCUCAAGUUUGUGGUUUCUCCUAGGCCCACAGACCCUGGCAUGGCUUCUGUGCGUGCUCCUUGUCUACCAGAAAUCUGGCUGCUGCCCUCUGGGUGCUGUACUUGGGCUGCUUCCCUCUGGCAGCAUACCCAGGGAGCCAGCCACAGAGAAGGGGGUGGCGGUGUUUGUCAAGUGGGUGUCACACAUACAGAAGGAUUGUUUUUCUUCUUUAGGCCAGAAAUCCAGGCACAGCUCAACAUAGUCCUCGCCUCAGGAUUUCACCAGGCUGCAGUCAAGGUGUUGGCUGGUUGACAUUCUCUCAUCUGGAGGCUCACUGGGCAAGAUUCUGCUUUCAGUCUUACUCAGGUUGUUUGGAAGAAUUCAUAUCCCUGUGGUGGUAUGACUGUGGGCUAUCGUUUCUUACUGGCUGUCAGGUGGAGGCUACUCUAAGGGCUCAGAGGCUGCCCACAGUCUGUUGCAACCUCUCCAUAGAACCCUCUCACAACAUUACUUCAGGGUGAGCAGCAGAAUCUCUCACUCCAGUCUGCAGAAGGGUCUUAUAUAAGAUAAUGUGAUCAAGUGUGACAUCCCAUCAUAUUUACCUUACAAAGAAACUUAAUCCAGGGAGUCACAUCUCAUCACCUUUGCCAUAAUCUAUUGGGUAUUAGCAAAUUCUAAAAUCCCCUUUUCCUGAAGGGUAAGGGAUUUUGCAAGUACUUGAGCCAUUGGUUGCUACCUUCAAUUGUGCGUGUCACAUUAUAUCAUAGUUUGGGAGAAUAUAAAAUAAUCAAAAUACAUAUUUUUGUAUAUAAUUGCGAUGUCUUUCUAAACUUCAAAGUAUUAUUCAAAUCUAAGAAGGCAUUAACUUUUGAUAGACUAUUCUAAGUGAGAUUUAUUUUAGUAGUACUGACCCAAAAGCCUAAAAAGACCUUCAAUCAUCAAAGAAUUCUCUGAUACAUGUAUGUAUGGAUAGAUAUAGAUAGAUAGAUAGAAAGAUGAUAGAUAGAUAGAUAGAUAGAUAGAUAGAUAGAUAGAUA